CUGGAUUUUGACGUAAUUUCUUCUGAUGUGGCUAGCAGGUGGCGGAGGUAUAUUUGAAUGUCGGCAGCACCCUGACAGCGAUUAGGAUGUCCUCCGUCUGCUAGUCUUAUUUCAUCCUUGAAUUCUAUGGAGCUCAAAUAGACAACAAAGCUUUAUGGAACUAGUUAAGUGUUAGCAUAAAAUCUCUUAGCCGUUAUCAUGUUGAGCUUCCUCUAAUAAAUAUUACUCUCUUUGGUAGGAUCAUAAAUUUAUUUUUAUAUUUUCAUUUUUAUAGGACAGGACUAUAUUUAUUUUAUUUUUACGCCACCACAGUGAAUGUACAUAUGGGUUUUAUGCCACGAGCAUACUCACAUGGGGCUUACUAUUUUUAAUAUUUUUAUUUUCUUUUCAAGAUAGCAUGAUUAACUAACAAGCCAUUUAAGGAAAGU
rnacentral:lncRNA from 1 species